rnacentral:rRNA from 1 species
CUAGCAAGAAAAACCAAGCAAAAUGAAUUUAAGUUUGUCACCCCGAAACCCAAGCGAGCUACUUACGAGCAGCUAUUAUUGAGCGAACCCGUCUCUGUUGCAAAAGAGUGGGAUGACUUGUCAGUAGAGGUGAAAAGCCAAUCGAGCUGGGUGAUAGCUGGUUGCCUGUGAAACGAAUCUAAGUUCACUCUUAAUUCUUCUCCAAGGAAAUCCAGAACCCUAAUGAAGCGAAUUAAGGGCUAUUUAAAGGAGGUACAGCUCCUUUAAAAAAGAAUACAAUCUCCACGAGCGGAUAAAUAACCCCUACCAAAGACUAUUGUGGGCCCUCAAGCAGCCAUCAACAGAGAGUGCGUUAAAGCUCUGUGCUCCAAAAAAAUAUAAAAACCAUAUGAAUCCCUCAUCACUAACAGGCUAACCUAUAGAACAAUAGGAGAAUUAAUGCUAGAAUGAGUAACCUGGGCUUUCUCCCCUCUUCGACG